rnacentral:rRNA from 1 species
ACGGGUGAGUAAUACGUAGGAACAUGUCCAGUAAUGGGGGAUAACGCAGCGAAAGUUGUGCUAAUACCGCAUACGUCCUGAGGGAGAAAGCGGGGGAUCGCAAGACCUCGCGUUAUUGGAGUGGCCUACGUCUGAUUAGCUAGUUGGUGAGGUAAAGGCUCACCAAGGCGACGAUCAGUAGCUGGUCUGAGAGGAUGAUCAGCCACACCGGGACUGAGACACGGCCCAGACUCCUACGGGAGGCAGCAGUGGGGAAUUUUGGACAAUGGGGGCAACCCUGAUCCAGCCAUUCCGCGUGAGUGAAGAAGGCCUUCGGGUUGUAAAGGUCUGUCAGCAGGGAAGAAACGGUUGCGGUUAAUACCUGCGACUAAUGACGGUACCUGCAGAAGAAGCACCGGCUAACUACGUGCCAGCAGCCGCGGUAAUACGUAGGGUGCGAGCGUUAAUCGGAAUUACUGGGCGUAAAGCGUGCGCAGGCGGUUUUGUAAGUCAGAUGUGAAAUCCCCGGGCUCAACCUGGGAACUGCGUUUGAAACUACAAGGCUAGAGUGUGGCAGAGGGGGGUAGAAUUCCACGUGUAGCAGUGAAAUGCGUAGAGAUGUGGAGGAAUACCGAUGGCGAAAGGCAGCCCCCUGGGUCAACACUGACGCUCAUGCACGAAAGCGUGGGGA